rnacentral:rRNA from 1 species
UACGUAGGGACCAAGCGUUGUUCGGAUUUACUGGGCGUAAAGGGCGCGUAGGCGGCAAUUCAAGUCACUUGUGAAAUCUCCGAGCUUAACUCGGAACGGUCAAGUGAUACUGUCUUGCUAGAGUGCAGAAGGGGCAAUCGGAAUUCUUGGUGUAGCGGUGAAAUGCGUAGAUAUCAAGAGGAACACCUGAGGUGAAGACGGGUUGCUGGGCUGACACUGACGCUGAGGCGCGAAAGCUAGGGUAGCAAACGGG